UCUGAAACUUCAAGAAAAUAAUGAUUCAUCUCCGCAAUAAUAAUCAUAGGAUCUAAUUACCCUAACAAAAUCCAUGAGGAAAAUGUGAUCAUCUAGUUUCCUAACACCCUUCUAACAAUGUACUGCAUGUUAAUUUGCUAGUAGCCAUGUGUGCCAGGUGGGAAGGUCCUUUCAUGGGGGCUUACAUUCUAAAAGUGAACAAGAUACCAUAUUGGAUGACACUUACAGAGAAGGGAAUGAGGUGGACUGAAGCAGUAUGUUUGACAUUUUAGGUAGGAGCUGGGGCAACAAACCCUGGGACAAAGUAAGAAAGGUAGUCUUGAUGGUGUCUUGCAGGAGGCAUCUUAAGAAACAAAGAGCACAAAGGCUUUGCGAUAGGGCAUGCUUAGAAUGGCACAAGUAUAAUCAAGUCCAUUGCUGCUGCAGAAGAUGAAGUAAGAACAGGAGACUGUGAGAUUUUGUAGUCACUGAAAAGCCAAGAUGUCAACUUCAACUGAGACCAGACACCACAAGACGAUUCUGGGCAGAGAAAUGAUACCAACAUUUUGAUUUUAACAGGACUGCUCUAGUUGCUAUGAGGGAAACAAUGUGAAGGGUAGAAGGCUAGAGUGAGAUCAGUAAGAGGCUAAUGUAAUGUAAGAGAAGACACUGGACUAGGUGGAAACAGGAGUAGUUCAAGUUCUGAAUAAAUGUUUGUGACGGAGCCAAUAUGAUUUGAAGACAAACUAGAUGUGUGAGAAAUGGACAAGUCAAGGAUGAAUGACAGGUGCUUUCUUCCUUCUUAAGUGUAGGCAACAAGAAGAGACUACUAUUAAGCAUUUGUGAAUUUUCAGGAAGCCAGUUUUAAAUACAUGCCUGAGAUAUUUACCAAACAUCAAGAAUUCAGGAAACCCUGCAGGUGGCUCUAAUGUAACAGGCACAUCUAAGAGAAGUCUGGCUAAAGUAAGUGGGGUUGUCAUCACCAGAGAGAAAAACCACCAGGUAAGAUCACAUGGGUAAUGAAGCAGCAAUCUAAGAGCCAAGUCUGAGUUCUGGGGGUUCCAUAUUUAGAGGUUGGCGUGACAUGCGCACGUCAAACUAAGAGACGGGCAUGUAAAAGAAAACCAGAGAAAAGUGUUUCCAGAAGCCAGUGAUAAAAGCUUUUGACAGAAAAGACAAAAUCAGAAAGAGGGAGAAAAAGAAAGAAUACUGGAUUUGCCACAAGAUCUCUGGAGACCUAGGAAAAAGUUUGGUAAAGCAUGAAACCCUGGAAUGUAUUCAGGAAAACUGGAACGACAUGGAGGGAAGGACAGGCUGUUGGACAGUGGCCAAAAAUGACUUCAGGGCUUUAGUUUACAGAAAAACAUGUGUUUAACACUAAUGGGAAUCAUCAAGGUAGAGAAUGAGCCAUUAGUGAUUCAGAAGACAGACCUGAGAACCACAUCUCUGAGUAUUCAAAGUCAUGGAGCUGGUACAUGGAAAAGCUUUAGCUGGUCAGGGUGAAGACAAGGAUACACAGACACAGGUGAAGACACAUGUGGUAACAGAGUGUACAGUCUAUUUUCUCACUACUGCAAUUGUCUCUGAAAUAGAAAGCAAGGUUGUCCUCUGAAUAAGAAAGGUGCAGCUGUCACAUUUUGGGGCAAGAAACACUGAUCUCAGAGUAGACAGGAGGAGAAUUUGAGUGAGACUGGUGUGACAUGUCCUGCUAGAGCACAUGUCCUACUUGUAAGGGAUAGAGCCAAGGCAGCUUGUUCAUCCUGCCUUUCUCCAAAACCAUUUGAAUAGCUGUGCUAGACAUAGACAGGCAAAACCCAAUUAAGACAGGAUUGAAGUUUAACCAAAGAACAAUGAAAGAAAGGCAUGUGAAGGUAAUUGCAGGACCGUGAAUAUAAUGAUUAACGACAAAACUACCACAGGCUAAGGAGAAAAGGAAGGACACAGUGCAGAAGAACAAACCCUGACUGCGUGGCCCACCAGUGGGUUCAGAGCUGAAACGGAUCACUGAGCACUACAGAGGGAAGAGCUGGAGAGAAGAACCAACAGCGGGAACAGGUCUGAAAGGCCACAAACGCACACCAGCAACAAGAGACUUGAGUGGCAAUGGGAGCAGCAAAAGGAGAACACAAAGAAUGAGUGACCGGGGCCUCAAAAGAAUCACCAAACCCACAGAGAUCAAAACAGGAAACUGAAACCCUCAACCAUCGCUUUAGGCACCCUUAGACGUUCUGCUGAGAAGUCUGCAGCUAGUCCAGAGAAGAUCCCACGUGUUGGCACUCUUGUCUUGGCCUUUGUUAGUUUGACUAUAUACAUAUAUACACCUAAGGGAGGACCUUUCUUGAGUGAAUCUACUAGGGGUCUCUCAGGCUCUUGGACCUGGAAGUAUACAUUAACUGAAGACUUGAAAAAAAUGCCCUUUUUUGCUGUAUUCAUUUUAUAUGCCUAUUUUCCUUCUAUUACGAAAUCCGAAUAAUAGUACUAUUUGCUUAAC